UCUUUGUGAUUCAUGCAAGAUUCCGAAGAGGUAGGCAGCUCACAGUGGGGCCUUCCCACUUAGCUCCUUUCAAACUCACAACAACCCUCUGAAGUGGGCGGUGGUCUCAUCUAGUCUGGUCCUGCUUCACAGAUGAAGUAAUUGAGGGUCAGCUCAAGAGGUUCUGGGGCCUGGAGGAAUGAAGAGGGCCCCUCUUUGGGAGUCCAGUCCAAUGGCUUAACCCAAAGCUCCAUGCGAGGCCAGCUGCUGGGACCUGCAACUUUGCCUUUGCCCUGGAGCCCCAUGGAAGACAGCAGGAGACACGGCGGGGUUCUCUACAGGCAACAAGGAGUGUGGGUGGUAGCGGGCUCUGGGAGCCCUCCCCAUUCCAUGGGGCUGGGACCAUGCAGCCCGCUGGACAGGAUUAGCUCUACAAGGAUGCUCAUCAGUGCGGUGUGCCUGGAUGUGAUGCUGGCCCGAUGUGGAACUUCAAAGCUGAAAAGGAAGUAUCUGAUUGGCCAGAUGGCUAUCAUUGUGCAUCCAGCGUGCAUUCACAGACGCAUGGAUAGUGACGCGCAUGUGUCCCACACUGAGGAGUCAACUGGACCAGGCCAACUGCUGGGCUGGGGCCCCGGGUGGGAGUUGGGGAGAGGAAGAGGUGAGAGGCUGGGGGCCAAGACCCAGAAGGUUGACCUGUCAAGGAGUCAGGAUGUCAUCCUGGGGCACUGGGAAGCCACUGGAGGGCUUUGUGCAGUGACAAGGCCAGGACUGCAUCCAGAAAGAAGGCUCUGGCUACAAGGGAGGAGGGCUCAAGCACGAGUCUGGAGGAAGGAGGUGAGGGGACCCUCUGGAGAGAAGACAGGCCAGUGGACAAGGCCCCUCCUCCCCCAAAGCACCAACAGUCCACGAUGGAGUCUGCCAAGAAAAUGAUGCUAAAUCUGAUCUGGCACCAGGCGGCUCUGCUGAAGGAGACUUUUGUCUUCAAGCCCUUCUCUUUCCACGUUUUCUCCUCUUGUCUCCACUGGUCCCCCGCGGUUCUGCUUCUGUCCCCUGUGGUGCUGCUCCCUUUCCUCCUGGGCUCCCUCCCCUCUGUAUCCUCAGACCUCUGCAUGUUUUCUCUCUUUCCUCCUCCUCCUCCCCAGCCCUUGAUGCCUGCCUCUUUCCCUAGCUUUUCAGGGGCCAAGCCCUCCGUUGGACACCCUUCUAAAAGAAAGAAAGAAAGAAAGAAAGAAAGAAAGAAAGAAAGAAAGAAAGAAAGAAAGAAAGAAAGAAAGAAAGAAAAGAAAGAAAGAAAAGAGAAGAGAGAAGGCAGUGGCUGGAUGCAGGGCCCCUGAAAUGUCUCCAGGCUGCGUGGAGGGCCCCUGCCCACUGCCCCCUCCUGCAGCGAGGGUCUCCAGUUUCCUGACUUGAUCUAGUCUCCAUAAUGCCACCGGUGGGAUCUUCCUGGAACACAAUCAAUCCUAAGAACCUUCGGAAGCUCAGCAUGCCAUACAGAGAGGCCUUUCACAUUGGCACCAGCCCGCUCUUCCAACAUUACGCCAAAUUACUCGCUGUUGUCACCUGACUCCAAGAGUUCGAAUAAAGGGGCAUGUGCUUGCGUGUAUUUGGACGUGUAGACUUCCCCUCGCACGUCGCGUCUGGAUCUGGGCUCUCUGCCAACUCCAGCAUCUCCCCAAGCCCUGCACGAUGGUUAGAUGCACA